UACGUAGGGUGCGAGCGUUAAUCGGAAUUACUGGGCGUAAAGCGUGCGCAGGCGGUUUUGUAAGCCAGAUGUGAAAGCCCCGGGCUCAACCUGGGAAUGGCAUUUGGGACUGCAAGGCUUGAGUGCGGCAGAGGAGACUGGAAUUCCUGGUGUAGCAGUGAAAUGCGUAGAUAUCAGGAGGAAUACCGAUGGCGAAGGCAGGUCUCUGGGCUGACACUGACGCUCAUGCACGAAAGCGUGGGGAGCAAAAGGG
rnacentral:rRNA from 1 species